UGGAUUAAUGUAUAUUGAUAAAAUUCUUUGUAGGGAAAUGUAUAGCUCUUGGCAAGGAAGCCCUUCUACAGAGGUAGCUAUCAGAGUCCACUGCAGUUAGAACACCAUCUUUGCUAACCUGUUUAAGGGAAAAUGUCACUAAAGAGCUAUGUGUUGAUGGUGACUACUGAGGCAGUGCUGCUUAAGUGCACAUUCUUCUGAAGAAGUGAUUUAAACACACUGAGGUAUAUAUUUUAAAGCAUACUUCAAGAGACUCACUGAGCUAAAAUGAAGAAUUCAUUCUAGGUACACACGUAAAUAGAACACACAGAAAACACAGGAGAUAGUGCAAAUGAUAAACAGACAUUUUCACAGAGUGAUAAACUUCUGAAAUGAUAGACACUGAGUAUCUAUUCUGCCUGUAAAACAUAGUAUAUAUUAACAAAAAUAUUGAGAAAACUAUUGUUUACUAACACUACCUAAUUCUUUAAUAAAGGAUGAGGUGGGGACUUGCCUGGUGGCACAGUGGUUAAGAAUACGCCUGUCAAUGCAGGGGACACGGGAUCGAUCCCUGGUCCCAGAAGAUCCCACGUGCCGCGGAGCCACUAACCCCGUGUGCCACAACUACUGAGCCUGCGCUCUAGAGCCCGCGAGCCACAACUACUGAGCCCGCAUGCCACAACUACUGAAGCCUGCAUGCCUAGAGCCCGUGCUCCGCAACAAGAGAACCAACCGCAAUGAGAGGCCCACGCACCACAAUGAAGAGUAGCCCCCAAUCGCCACAACUAGAGAAAGCCUGCGCACAGCAAUGAAGACCCAACACAGCCAAAAAUAAAUUAAUUAAAAUAAAAUACUCUGUAAUGUCCUAUGUGGGAAAAGAAUCUAAAAAAGAGUGGAUAUAUGUAUAACUGAUUCACUUUGCUGUACACCUGAAACAUGUUAUAAAUCAACCGUAUGCCAAUAAAAAUUUAAAAAAAAAGGAUCAGGUGCCCACAUCCAGUUUUCAAUUAUGUAAAAUAGUUUGUAAUCAAAUCUAAGGACAAGACUAAGGGACAUAUACUUUCCUCUCCCAGUUUACGAUGAUGACGAUGAUGAUGACAACAAUGACAGCUUCCACUAUAAACAUAAUAAAUGUUGCUUACUUUAUGCCAGGGAUGAGAAAACUGAAGUCUAGAGAGAUGAAGCACCCCAGGUUACAAAGCUCUGAAGAAGGAAGCUGGGGCUGGAACCAAGGUUUGUGAUGCUGUAACUGUGCUUUUAAUCACUACCAUAAAGCUACAAGGCAUUGGAUUAAAUUUCAGUUUGGAACCAUGUCCAAGUAAAUUUGAUUUCAGUUCUUCAGUUCAGUCAUUCCUAAAUCCAUGUGGGUGUUAUAAAUGUUAAGAUUAAACUAUUCAUGGAUGACACACGAAAACUGUCUACGAAAAAUGUCUCCUGCCAUAUCAGUCAACACAGGAUGUUAUGGUCAUCAAGCCCUCAGCCACUGCAGCUGCCUCAGACUGUGCACCCUGAGGAGACUCAGGAUGGCGAAAAACAGGAUACUUGCUCUAGAUAGUGAAGGUGCACAUCAAAGGAAUGAUUUCAAUGAGCCCAGACUCUUGCAUCUUCCCAUAUGUAGAAAAGUGCUAAAUUCAUUAACUUGAGAUUUUUUUCUUUAACUAGGAGUAAUCUUUUGAUGUUCCACUACCUGUUUUUUGUUGUUGUUGUUUUGGGUAUUUUGGCGAAACUCCCAUAUAUCCUGGCUCCUCCCUUCCCUCUUUGGAGCAGUCCCUCAGAGCCACCUGAGAGGAUUAGGCAACUACUAGUUGCCUCUUAAGAAGCCUGGUAAUUCAGCAAGUAUGCCAAAUAAAACAUAAUUCUCAACCUUUAGGUUAUGCAGUUUUUUUCAGUUGACAAAAUUUAGGAGCUUGGUAUUUCAGAGUUUGCAGAAAAACAUUUUAUAAAGUGAUUUACCAAGCAAAGAAUGACCACAUAAUGAGAAAUUAUGUUGUAACUUUUAUCCUUAUUACUUCUAAAUAAUAACUAAUAUAAUUUUAGAGUUGGAGACUACAGAACUCAUUUAGCCAGGAGUAUCACUUUUUAAAACUGAGGUUUAUUUAACUUAGAAACAGUAGCUACUAAGUGCCCUGAUACACUAUGGAGCUUAAUCUUUUUUUUUUUUUUUUUUAAUAUUUAUUUAUUUGGCUGUGCUGGGUCUUAGUUGCGGCAUGCGGGUUCUUUUAGUUGCUGCAUGUGGGAUCUCGUUCCCUGACCAGGGAUCGAAGCAAGGCCCCCUGCUUUGGGAGCGUGCAGUCUUACCCACUGGACCACCAGGGAAGUCCCCUUUGGAACUUAAUCUUAUUUCUUGUGUGCAUGUGUGGGCUAGCUUGCUACUUAAAAAAAAUACUGAUUAAAAAGAAAUAUAUAUUCAAAAAAUUUGACACCAAACUAAAAUUCUUUUGCUUAGAACACUCUAAAAGUAGUAGGAAUUCUCCUGAUUAUCAAAUUACCACCAUAAAAAUUAAAGUGUUCUCUCAGUUAUUUGAAAUGUUAUACAUGGUAUAAAAGCUAAACUUGGUGAUUAGAUACAUGUCUUUUUGAUGAUUGCUUACUUCUAACAAACGCUAAAUUGUUACAAAAUCUACUAACAGUUGCCUCUUAAGAAGCCUGGUAAUUUAGAUGCGUUUUAAAAAACUUUUCCAGGGAGACUUGGCCAUUUACUACACUUCUGAUCACAUGGAAGAUCCACUCACAAGGUUUGUGUCACUUAAAUUGCUGAGAACAGAAUAUUUUGAUAUUUUAUUUCAUUAACUUGAUAACAUUACAUGUUGACGAUACAUAUCACAAAAUGCUAAAUGUGGUUUGGCUUUCUCUUCUUUUCUGCAGUAUUUUAACCAAAAUUUAGUUUUUUUAAAAAAAAAACCCAUAAGGGUAACAAAAAUGAAAUGUUACCUUUUUAACACCAAUCUGAACAGCUCUCUCUAUUACAUCCCGUAAGUCAUCUGUAAAAGAUGAAUCCCACAUUAAGAAAAUGUAACUAUAAAUUCACUUACCCAUAAUUUAGUUAUCCUUUAUUAAAAGAAAAAUACAUAGAAAAAUCAUAUUUACUGAAGUCAAAUCAAUACUAUUUGAUGAGUGCUUAUCAUAUAAGCAAAGACCUAGUGAUACUUUAAAAAAAAAGAAACCCAUAUAAGGCAAAAUAGAUGAACAGUUAUCCAUUCAAUUGUAUUUUUAUUCUGUUGACCACAAAGGGGAAAAGUCUGUUUGGCUUUAUGGUUUGCCUUUUAUGCAUAUGGUUAUCUAAAGUUCUAUAUUCAAAGUUAUAAACUUCUACAGAUAAGAAGGGCUUGAUAACACUUUGUUGUAAUAGGUAUUUUAUAAAUGUUCAUGAUCAUGUUUUACCAAUAUAGCUUAUAUGUGUUUCACUUUGUUUAUAGUUUUAUCCAAGAUGCAUAAUAAAUUCUUUAAU